AGUUCGAUCAUGGCUCAGAUUGGGCGAACUGGCGGGAUGCUUUACACAUGCAAGUCGAACGGCGUGCGAGACUUCGGUCUGGUGGCGAGUGGCGAACGGGUGAAAUCAAUGUAUCGGAACGUGCCUAGUAGCGGGGGAUAACUACGCGAAAGCGUAGCUAAUGCCGCAUACGCCCUUCGGGGAAAGCAGGGGACCUUCGGGCCUCGCACUAUUAGAGCGGCCGAUAUCGGAUUAGCUAGUUGGUGGGAGUAACGGCUCACCAAGGCGACGAUCCGUAGCUGGUGGUGAUGAAUACCGCGGACAAGAUGUGAACCAGACUCCUACAGGGAAGGCAUGACGGUGAAAUGCUGGACAAUGGAAACCUGAUCAACGGUGAUUCAGCUGGCAUCGAAAUGUGGGUUGUAAAGACGACGGCAGGAAAGAAACGGCACGGGAUAAUACCCCGUGCAACUGACAGUACACCUGCAGAAUAAGCACCGGCUAACUACGUACAGCAGCCGCGGUAAUACGUGAGUGCAAACGUUAAUCGGAAUUACUGGGCAUGCAAAGCGUGCGCAGGCGGUUCGGAAGGAAAGAUGUGAAAUCGGGACUGUUUGAGACUGCAUUUUUAACUACCGAGCUAGAGUGUCAGAGGAGGGUGGAGAUUGUGUGCAAUGUAGUGAUGAAAUGCGUAGAUAUGCGGAGGAACACCGAUGGCGAAGGCAGCCUCCUGGGAUAACACUGGCAUGUGUGAGCAUGGAGCGUUCAGGAUUAGAUACCCUGGUAGUCCACGCCCUAAACGAUGUCAACUAGCUGUUGGGGCCUUCGGGCCUUGGUAGCGCAAUAACAUCUGAAGUUGACGCCUGGGGAAGUGCCGCGGUCGCAAGAUUAAAACUCAAAGGAAUUGGCAGGAGGACCAUUUUCAAGCAGUGGAUGAUGAACAGUUGCGAUGCGGCAGAAAGCGCACGUGUUCGACGCGCAAUAUGGAUCCCGAAGAGAUUUAGGAGUGCUCGCAAAGAGAACCGGAACACAGGUGCUGCAUAGCUGUCGUCAGCUCGUGUGGUGAGAUGAAGGAUUCGGAAUGUCCACUAACAGCGCAACCGAAAGUCAGAUAGUUGCUACGAAAGGGCACUCUAAUGAGACUGCCGGUGACAAACCGGAGGAAGGUGAGAUGACGUCAAGUCCUCAUGGCCCUUAUGCGGGUAGGGCUUCACGUCAUACAAUGGUCGGGACAGAGGGUCGCCAACCCGCGGUGAGAAGACUAAUCGAAACCCGAUCGUAGUCCCGGAUCAUGAUCUGCAACUCGACUGCGUGAUCCGGAAUCGCCAGUAAUCGCGGAUCAGCAUCAAUAAAGUGAACCAUGUAUUCGGGUCUUGUACAUUACGCCCGUCACACCAUGGAGUGGGUUUGCAAGUAGUUAGCCUAACCGUAAGGAGGGCGAUUACACCACGGUAUUAGGAUUCUGGGACGGUGAUCAGUGAUAAGA
rnacentral:rRNA from 1 species